CUCGGUGGCGGCUUUGCGCCGGAAAGCUCCCCUAAACGUAUCGUUUCCCACGUCUUCCGAUCGGUUUUCAAGGAAAAGCAGUUUCCUUUCUGUAAGGAAAUCGCAAAUAAGGAAUACUAGGCAACCAGACUGACGUAGUCAUUCAAACACCUUCCCCGACCCAGAGCGGUGGUGCCGAAGCUCUGGAGCUCCGCCUUGGAUUUCACAGGUGUCAGAUGCUGAGAUGAAAAACACCCGACACAAAGUCGCUGCAUUGAUUCCCAAAACAUAAUCGCAAAUAACGAUGGAAAUGUACUGCAGUCUCUUUCUCCUCAGUCCUCAUCCACUGCACAAAAAGACAGGCAAUGAGUUUUACCAAAAGACAAUAAUUCGUUUUUCUGGGACGCCUUCUCUGAUUGGAAGCAUUUAAGAACCUUAUAAAUACAUUUCAUUUUUGUUGUUUAAUUCCUGGAUGCGCUAGCUAGCAUGUUUUCUGUUUUUAGUGAAACAAACUCUGCAGUUAACCAGAAUGCUGGGCAGUGGGGGCGUACGCCUUUGACCCUCGCACUUGGAGUCAGAGGUGGGCAGAUGUCUGUGAGUUCAAGGGUACGUGGAUCUCUGUGAGUUAGAGGCCAGCCUGGUCUACAGAGAGUUUCAGGACAGCCUGUUCUAGAUCACAAUUUACUAUACAAUAUACUCGCUCCAAUUCUUGCA